UGGGGAAUAUUGCGCAAUGGGCGAAAGCCUGACGCAGCGACGCCGCGUGAGGGAAGAAGGCCUUCGGGUCGUAAACCUCUGUCAGGAAGGAAGAACCCCGUGGGAUCUAACAGGUCCUGCGGCUGACGGUACUUCCAAAGGAAGCACCGGCUAACUCCGUGCCAGCAGCCGCGGUAAUACGGAGGGUGCAAGCGUUAAUCGGAAUUACUGGGCGUAAAGCGCACGUAGGCGGCCUUGCAAGUCAGACGUGAAAGCCCACGGCUCAACCGUGGAAUUGCGCUUGAAACUACAAGGCUUGAGUCCGAGAGAGGGUGGCGGAAUUCCGGGUGUAGGAGUGAAAUCCGUAGAUAUCCGGAGGAACACCAGUGGCGAAGGCGGCCACCUGGAUCGGUACUGACGCUGAGGUGCGAAAGCGUGGGGAGCAAACA
rnacentral:rRNA from 1 species